rnacentral:rRNA from 1 species
GAUGAACGCUGGCGGCGUGCCUAAUACAUGCAAGUCGAGCGAACGGACGAGAAGCUUGCUUCUCUGAUGUUAGCGGCGGACGGGUGAGUAACACGUGGAUAACCUACCUAUAAGACUGGGAUAACUUCGGGAAACCGGAGCUAAUACCGGAUAAUAUAUUGAACCGCAUGGUUCAAAAGUGAAAGACGGUCUUGCUGUCACUUAUAGAUGGAUCCGCGCUGCAUUAGCUAGUUGGUAAGGUAACGGCUUACCAAGGCAACGAUGCAUAGCCGACCUGAGAGGGUGAUCGGCCACACUGGAACUGAGACACGGUCCAGACUCCUACGGGAGGCAGCAGUAGGGAAUCUUCCGCAAUGGGCGAAAGCCUGACGGAGCAACGCCGCGUGAGUGAUGAAGGUCUUCGUAUCGUAAAACUCUGUUAUUAGGGAAGAACAUAUGUGUAAGUAACUGUGCACAUCUUGACGGUACCUAAUCAGAAAGCCACGGCUAACUACGUG